rnacentral:rRNA from 1 species
GACGAACGCUGGCGGCGUGCUUAACACAUGCAAGUCGAACGGUGAAGCGCCUUCCUUUUUGGUGGGUGUGGAUGAGUGGCGAACUGGUGAGUAACACGUUAGUAACCUGCCCCCUCCUUCUGGAUAACCGCAUGAAAGUGUGGCUAAUACGGGAUAUUCUGGAUCGGUCGCAUGAUGGGUCUGGGACAGAUAUUGUUUCGGUGGGGGAUGGGCUCGCGGCCUAUUAGCUUGUUGGUGGGGUGAUGGCCUACCAAGGCGACGAUGAGUAGCCGGCCUGAGAGGAUGGUCGACGGCACUAGAAGUAAGGCGAGGCGGAGAAGCCUCCGGGAGGCGGCAGUAGGGGAGCUUAUGGCAUAAUGGGCAGAAGGAUGGUGCAGCGCCGCGGCGGGGGUGAUGGAGGCCGGCGGGUUGAGAACUGCUUUUGGGAGUGAAGCAAGGCUGCAUCGUUUGUGGGUGGGUUGACGGUAGCUGGACAAGAAGCGCCGGCUAACUACGUG